rnacentral:lncRNA from 1 species
CCGGAAGUGCCCUUCCCAUAGGUGGAGGCGGCGGCGGAGCUGCGGGAGCUGGCGGGGGAGGGGCUGGCGGCCAUGGCGGGCGGGGCCGGAGGGGGCGUGGCCUUCGCCGCCGCCCUGCCCCCCAUGCUGGCCUGCCUGCGCGGCGACCUCCCGCAGCGCUCCUGGGCGGCCGCCAUGCUGGGCGAGGUGGGCGGGGCCCUGCUGGGGGGCGUGGCCCCGGCCCUGCUGCCCCGCCUCGGCCCCGCCCUGGCGGCCGCCGCCCUCCGCGACCCCCACCCCGAGGUGCGCGGCAACGCCCUCUGCAGCCUGGGCCGCCUGGCCGCCAACGGGGCGGGGCAAAGCCCGUAUCCAUGGCAACGGGGGCGGGGCCGGGACGGGCGCCAUGGCAACGGGGUGGGAAAGGGGCGGGGCUUGGCUCAUUGCCAUGGCAACGGGGUGGGGGGGAGGGGCGGGAGGGUGGGUGCCAUAGCAACCGGUGCUGGGGGGAGGCCACGCCCCCUGGUUGCCUAGCAACCCCCUUAUAGGAGCGAGGCCAUGCCCCCUUCUGAAGCCACGCCCCCUGUUGCCAUAGCAACCGUUAAUGGCCCUCCUGGCCAUGCCCCCAGUCCCCUGGCCACGCCCCCUGGUUGCCUAGCAACCCCCUUAAAGGAGCGAGGCCACGCCCCCUUCAGUAGCCACGCCCCCCUGUUGCCAUAGCAACUCCUGCCAGAGAGGAGGCCACGCCCCCUGGUCACCUAGCAACCCCUUAAUAGGACCGAGGCCACGCCCCCUUCUGUAGCCACGCCCCCCGUUGCCUAGCAACCCGCAGCGAGGCCCCGCCCCCUCCUCCUCCUGCACCCCGCUGGGUCCUAGCGCCCCUCCCUCCCCCCCCCCCCUUCCCUAGCAACCCCUUUAGGCCCCUC